rnacentral:rRNA from 1 species
AAAUCUACGGGGGGCAGCAGUGGGGAAUAUUGCACAAUGGGGGAAACCCUGAUGCAGCGACGCCGCGUGAGUGAUGAAGUAUUUCGGUAUGUAAAGCUCUAUCAGCAGGGAAGAUAAUGACGGUACCUGACUAAGAAGCUCCGGCUAAAUACGUGCCAGCAGCCGCGGUAAUACGUAUGGAGCAAGCGUUAUCCGGAUUUAUUGGGUGUAAAGGGUGCGUAGGCGGAAUAUCAAGUCAGCGGUAAAAAUUCGGGGCUCAACCCCGUCGUGCCGUUGAAACUGAUGUGCUUGAGUGGGCGAGAAGG